rnacentral:rRNA from 1 species
AACGAACGCUGGCGGCAUGCCUAACACAUGCGAGUCGAACGAGACCUUCGGGUCUAGUGGCGCACGGGUGCGUAACGCGUGGGAACCUGCCUUUAGGUUCGGAAUAACUCAGAGAAAAUUGAGCUAAUACCGGAUGAUGUCUUCGGACCAAAGAUUUAUCGCCUUUAGAUGGGCCCGCGUUGGAUUAGCUAGUUGGUGGGGUAAAGGCCUACCAAGGCGACGAUCCAUAGCUGGUCUGAGAGGAUGAUCAGCCACACUGGGACUGAGACACGGCCCAGACUCCUACGGGAGGCAGCAGUGGGGAAUAUUGGACAAUGGGCGAAAGCCUGAUCCAGCAAUGCCGCGUGAGUGAUGAAGGCCUUAGGGUUGUAAAGCUCUUUUACCCGAGAUGAUAAUGACAGUAUCGGGAGAAUAAGCUCCGGCUAACUCCGUG